ensembl:snRNA U6 U6 spliceosomal RNA
AUGCUCGCUUCAGCAACACAAAUAUUAAAAUUGGAAUGAUACAGAAAAGAUCAGCAUGACCCCUGUGCAAGGGUGACAUAGAAAUUUGUGAAGCGUUUCCUCUAUUU